rnacentral:rRNA from 1 species
AACGAACGCUGGCGGCAGGCUUAACACAUGCAAGUCGAGCGGGGUGAUGGUGCUUGCACUAUCACUUAGCGGCGGACGGGUGAGUAAUGCUUAGGAAUCUGCCUAUUAGUGGGGGACAACAUCUCGAAAGGGAUGCUAAUACCGCAUACGUCCUACGGGAGAAAGCAGGGGAUCACUUGUGACCUUGCGCUAAUAGAUGAGCCUAAGUCGGAUUAGCUAGUUGGUGGGGUAAAGGCCUACCAAGGCGACGAUCUGUAGCGGGUCUGAGAGGAUGAGCCGCCACACUGGGACUGAGACACGGCCCAGACUCCUACGGGAGGCAGCAGUGGGGAAUAUUGGACAAUGGGGGGAACCCUGAUCCAGCCAUGCCGCGUGUGUGAAGAAGGCCUUAUGGUUGUAAAGCACUUUAAGCGAGGAGGAGGCUCUUUUGGUUAAUACCCAAGAUGAGUGGACGUUACUCGCAGAAUAAGCACCGGCUAACUCUGUGCCAGCCGCCGCGGUAA